rnacentral:rRNA from 1 species
CUAGCUACAGGCUUAACACAUGCAAGUCGAGGGGCAGCAUGGUCUUAGCUUGCUAAGGCCGAUGGCGACCGGCGCACGGGUGAGUAACACGUAUCCAACCUGCCGUCUACUCUUGGACAGCCUUCUGAAAGGAAGAUUAAUACAAGAUGGCAUCAUGAGUNCACAUGUUCACAUGAUUAAAGGUAUUCCGGUAGACGAUGGGGAUGCGUUCCAUUAGAUAGUAGGCGGGGUAACGGCCCACCUAGUCUUCGAUGGAUAGGGGUUCUGAGAGGAAGGUCCCCCACAUUGGAACUGAGACACGGUCCAAACUCCUACGGGAGGCAGCAGUGAGGAAUAUUGGUCAAUGGGCGAGAGCCUGAACCAGCCAAGUAGCGUGAAGGAUGACUGCCCUAUGGGUUGUAAACUUCUUUUAUAAAGGAAUAAAGUCGGGUAUGGAUACCCGUUUGCAUGUACUUUAUGAAUAAGGAUCGGCUAACUCCGUGCCAGCAGCCGCGGUAAUACGGAGGAUCCGAGCGUUAUCCGGAUUUAUUGGGUUUAAAGGGAGCGUAGAUGGAUGUUUAAGUCAGUUGUGAAAGUUUGCGGCUCAACCGUAAAAUUGCAGUUGAUACUGGAUAUCUUGAGUGCAGUUGAGGCAGGCGGAAUUCGUGGUGUAGCGGUGAAAUGCUUAGAUAUCACGAAGAACUCCGAUUGCGAAGGCAGCCUGCUAAGCUGCAACUGACAUUGAGGCUCGAAAGUGUGGGUAUCAAACAGGAUUAGAUACCCUGGUAGUCCACACGGUAAACGAUGAAUACUCGCUGUUUGCGAUAUACAGCAAGCGGCCAAGCGAAAGCGUUAAGUAUUCCACCUGGGGAGUACGCCGGCAACGGUGAAACUCAAAGGAAUUGACGGGGGCCCGCACAAGCGGAGGAACAUGUGGUUUAAUUCGAUGAUACGCGAGGAACCUUACCCGGGCUUAAAUUGCAGAUGAAUUACGGUGAAAGCCGUAAGCCGCAAGGCAUCUGUGAAGGUGCUGCAUGGUUGUCGUCAGCUCGUGCCGUGAGGUGUCGGCUUAAGUGCCAUAACGAGCGCAACCCUUGUUGUCAGUUACUAACAGGUUCNGCUGAGGACUCUGACAAGACUGCCAUCGUAAGAUGUGAGGAAGGUGGGGAUGACGUCAAAUCAGCACGGCCCUUACGUCCGGGGCUACACACGUGUUACAAUGGGGGGUACA